rnacentral:lncRNA from 1 species
CUUUGCUCUUUCCUUCCUUUGUUGAAUUCACCUGGCAAAGCCCUAGUUAAAUCCAACUCCCCACCUGCUGGUAAUUCUGCAUGUCCCUAGUACAUUUGUUUUCCCAUUCCCAAGACAACUAUUUCACAUCUUUUUCUCUUUAAAUCUUCAACAUCCCUUCAGGCCCCUUUCUGUUUGCUUUCCAAGACACACUACAAUAACCCUAAGACUUUAUAUAUUUCCCCCAAAUAUGUAUUUUCCCAUUUUAGGGGAGGGCGCCGGCAGCCAGCCGUUAAUUAGCAUACUUCCCAUGCUCAUCAUGAAGUCACGGGCUAAUCUGGCACACACGGUUCGGAACGGGCCAAGUAGAUAGUUGUCUAACGACAGACUGGAUAUCCGCCCCCAGAAUGUAAAUUCUUGGUGGAGCAAUUUCAUUUUGCAACUUUGAGCUGACAACCCCCAACUCCAAAAAAAAGGGGGUACAUAUCUAAACUGAGAAGUGUUUAGUGGAAGAUAAUGUAUGCCAUUUCAAGUGAUAACACUGUUCAUUCUUCACUAAUGCCAUGGUACAAUUCAGACACUCCUAAUGCUUUCCUUUCUCCCUACCAAGGAGGCAGGUUUAAAAGGUGUGGUUUAAAAUAUUAUCUUACCUGUUCAAGGACAGAAAAUUUGAAAUUCCAUACCCUCAUCAUUUUCUGAUGGUGAAACUUACCUCCAUCACUUCUCCCUGCACAGGAGGGUUGGAAUACUGUGGUCGACGCCCAUAGGGUCUCCGCAUGUAGUAAGGUGGGAACCUUCGCCUGCGGUAGGGCCGGCGUUGUUGGGCCUGGCCUUCGGGAGCACUCUCCGAUCCCUCGUUCUUUUCCCCACUCUCACUAUUCUGGUAAUUUUGCUGGUAAUUGCGUGGAGGACCCCUAC